AUUGAACGCUGGCGGCAGGCCUAACACAUGCAAGUCGAACGAUUGGCGGACGGGUGAGUAAUGUCUGGGACACUGCCCGAUGGAGGGGGAUAACUACUGGAAACGGAAGCUAAUACCGCAUACCAUCGGAGGUGCCCCGAUGGGAUUUGCUAGUAGGUGGGGUAACGGCUCACCUAGUGGACGAUACCUAGCUGGUCUGAGAGGAGGACCAGCCACACUGGAAUGGAGACACGGUCCAGAAUCCUACGGGAGGCAGAAGUGGGGAAUAUUUCACAAUGGGCGCAAGCCUGAUGCAGCCAUGCCGCGUGUAUGAAGAAGGCCUUCGGGUUGUAAAGGACUUUCAGCGAGGAGGCGUUACCCGCAGAAGAAGCACCGGAUAACUCCGUGCCAGCAGCCGCGGUAAUAC
rnacentral:rRNA from 1 species